GAAAGCCGUAUUCGAUGAAAGUCGUAUGUAUGGCUUGGAGGGAGGUCUUUCAUAUCUUUCACUUAGUAGGACCUUCUGUCUUACAAGAGACCUUUCAU
rnacentral:ncRNA from 1 species